CCGCCGGCCAGGCCGCGCUGAACACAGCCCGCGCGACGCCUGGCAUCCGCACCCGGGGCCAUGCCGGUCAUGAAGGGGUUGCUGGCCCCGCAAAACACCUUCCUGGACACCAUCGCCACCCGCUUUGACGGCACGCACAGCAACUUCCUUCUGGCCAAUGCACAGGGCCCCCGGGGUUUUCCCAUCGUCUACUGCUCUGACGGCUUCUGUGAGCUCACUGGCUACGGCCGCACCGAGGUCAUGCAGAAAACCUGUAGCUGCCGGUUUCUCUAUGGCCCAGAGACCAGUGAGCCAGCCCUGCAACGGCUGCAAAAAGCCCUGGAGGGCCACCAGGAACACCGAGCUGAAAUAUGCUUCUACCGAAAGGACGGCUCAGCCUUUUGGUGUCUUCUGGACAUGAUGCCCAUCAAGAAUGAGAUGGGCGAGGUUGUGCUUUUCCUAUUCUCCUUCAAGGACAUCACUCAGAGCGGAGGCCCAGGACUUGGCUCACCAGGAAUCCAUGGGGACAAUAAUCAUGAAAACUCUCUUGGGAGGAGGGGAACUAGCUCUAGACUUAGGUCCACCAGGAGGCAGAACCGGACCGUCCUACACCGAUUGACUGGCCACUUUGGUCGCCGGGGCCAGGGAAGCAUGAAGGCCAAUAAUAACGUGUUUGAGUCAAAGCCAUCAGUGCCUGAGUACAAAGUGGCCUCCGUGGGGGGCUCCCGCUGCCUCCUCCUCCACUACAGCAUCCCCAAGGCUGUCUGGGAUGGCCUCAUCCUCCUCGCCACAUUCUACGUUGCGGUCACCGUCCCCUACAACGUCUGCUUCUUGGGUGAUGACGACACCCCCAUCACUUCCCGACACACCCUUGUCAGCGACAUCGCUGUGGAGAUGCUCUUCAUCCUAGACAUCAUCCUGAACUUCCGCACCACCUAUGUGUCCCAGUCAGGCCAGGUGAUCUCUGCUCCUCGUUCCAUUGGCCUCCACUACCUGGCCACCUGGUUCUUCGUGGACCUUAUUGCUGCUUUGCCCUUUGACCUUCUGUAUGUCUUCAACAUCACUGUGACCUCGUUGGUGCACCUGCUGAAAACAGUACGGCUCCUGCGGUUGCUGCGGCUGCUGCAGAAGCUGGAGCGGUACUCUCAGUGCAGCGCGGUGGUGCUCACGCUGCUCAUGUCCGUCUUUGCACUCCUUGCCCACUGGAUGGCCUGCGUCUGGUAUGUCAUCGGGCGCCGAGAGAUGGAGGCCAAUGACCCGCUGCUCUGGGACAUUGGUUGGUUGCACGAGCUGGGCAAGCGGCUGGAGGAGCCUUACGUCAACGGCUCGGCAGGUGGACCUUCUCGACGCAGCGCCUACAUCGCCGCGCUCUACUUCACGCUGAGCAGCCUCACCAGCGUAGGCUUCGGCAACGUGUGUGCCAACACCGACGCUGAGAAGAUCUUCUCCAUCUGCACCAUGCUCAUAGGCGCGCUGAUGCACGCAGUCGUGUUCGGGAACGUCACGGCCAUCAUCCAGCGCAUGUACUCCCGACGCUCGCUCUACCACAGCCGCAUGAAGGAUCUCAAGGACUUCAUCCGGGUGCAUCGCCUGCCCCGCCCCCUCAAGCAGCGCAUGCUCGAGUACUUCCAGACGACGUGGGCGGUCAACAGCGGCAUCGAUGCCAACGAGUUACUGCGUGACUUCCCAGACGAGCUGCGGGCUGACAUUGCUAUGCACCUGAAUCGGGAGAUCCUGCAGCUGCCGUUGUUUGGAGCAGCUAGCAGGGGCUGCCUUCGGGCCCUCUCCCUGCACAUCAAGGCCUCAUUUUGUGCUCCUGGGGAGUACCUGUUGCGCCGGGGGGACGCCCUACAGGCGCACUACUAUGUCUGCUCCGGCUCGCUUGAGGUGCUCCGAGACAACAUGGUGCUGGCCAUCCUCGGGAAGGGGGACUUGAUUGGGGCAGACAUCCCUGAGUUGGGGCAGGAGCCUGGGUCAGGGGCAGGCCCCAGCUGCGUGCUGAAGACCAGCGCUGAUGUGAAAGCACUGACUUACUGUGGCCUGCAGCAGCUGAGCAGCCGAGGGCUGGCCGAGGUCCUGAGGCUGUAUCCGGAGUAUGGUGCUGCCUUCCGGGCCGGCCUACCCCGGGACCUAACGGUCAACCUGCGCCAAGGCUCUGAAAACAAUGGCCUCGGCCGCUUCUCACGCUCUCCUGGCCUCUCCCAGUCACGAUCUGACACUCUUGGUUCCUCUUCGGACAAGACUCUGCCAUCCAUCACAGAAGCUGAGGGUGGCAUGGAGCCUGGGGCUGGUCCCAAGCCCCGUCGGCCCCUCCUGCUGCCCAACCUCAGUCCGGCACGACCUCGGGGGUCCCUGGUCAGCCUUUUGGGCGAGGAGCUGCCCCCAUUCUCAGCCCUCGUCUCCUCUCCUUCCCUGUCCCCAUCUCCUUCCCCUGCCCUGGCUGGCCGGGGUCAGGGUCCCUCCCUGCACGGCCCUCCCAGGGGCUCUGCUGCCUGGAAGCCCCCCCAGCUCCUCAUUCCCCCACUGGGAACAUUUGGACCUCCGGACCUCAGUCCCCGGAUCGUGGAUGGCAUUGAGGACUCCAGUAACCCGGCUGAGGCCCCUACAUUCCGGUUCAGCAAGAGGCCAGAGCCCACCAGAAUUCGCUCACAAGCUGCCCCUUCAAGCCCCAGGCCCAGCCGGGAACUGGCCACAGAGGCAGCAGAGGAAGUGAAGGAAAAGGUCUGCAGGUUGAACAAGGAGAUCUCCCGUCUCAAUCAGGAAGUGUCUCAGCUGAGCCGGGAGCUGCGGCAAGUGAUGGGCCUCCUGCAGGCAAGGCUGGGCCCCCCAAGCCACCUGGCUAACUCAGCUUGGCUCCCAGACCUUCCUUGCCCCCACCAGAGGCCACCGUAUACCUCUCCUCAUGCAUCUGGACCACCACCGGGUCUCCAGGAUACCACACUCGCUGUGGUCCACUGUCCAGCCACUGUGGGGACAGUGGAGACAGGGGCCACUCCCUCAGAGCUGAGAUGCGCCGUGAUGCCGCCCUAUCCCUCAGAACCUGAUCCUCUCGGACCCUCCCCAGUGCCCGAGGGUUCGCCCCUGACCCCAAGCCUCAUGAGGCAUAGCUUCCAAUCUGGGUCAGACACACUCCACUGACCCUGGUCUUCGGGCCCAGGCCUGUCUGGGGUGGGCGUUACCACCUACCAUCCAGGGAGGAGCUGGGCUCCAUGGUCUCUUGCCACCAGCUGGUCUGGUUGGCUCUAGAUUCUCUGGACUUUUUAACAAGGAGUGGCCACAUCUAACCCCGUUCCAUUUCCUAAAUCCUCCCUUACCCCCCUCUUCUGUGAAGGGGGCCACCUGAGGCCGUGGAAUCCAGCAGGCAUGAAAUGGAGGACCGUGAUGCCCUGUUGGGCUGGGCAGAGGAGUGUCCUACUUUCUCGCCAAGACUUGGAGGCAGGCUGUCAUGCAAAGUGGUCCCUCUGCUGGCAGCGGCUGAACGCAUUCUAGCAUUACCCUUCUGCUGCUCACACCUCUAAACCUCAGCCAAAUCUGCCUCCCUCUCUCCCUCUCUCUACAUGGUCUCAACUGAGGAGUCUGGGCAACUCACAAGCCCACUCUGGUUUCCAGCCCUCCUUUCCCACUCAAUGCCCCAGGCUCAUUUUUGGAUAAUAAAUCCUUAUAUUUUUGUAGACCUUGAC